CUCCCUCUCCGGUAUAAUGAUAUGUUUGAAGAAUUAAAUCUUUUAGUUUAAAUAUAUCAGAGGAGAUCAAAGAUCUUUGACAGCAAAACAGAGGAUAAGUUAUUUCGUAUGGACCAGACAAAGUAUAAUUCCACUAAACUGAUUAGAAUUGAAUAAGUAAAUCCAUCACUUCCUGGUGCUUGGUUAGUCCUCCCCUGAUGGAUCAAGUCUUCUUGUGACAGAGAUCGAGUGGCAACUUCUUGUUUUUCUCUGUAUGCCUCUCCUAGAGUAGAUUUUUGUUUCUGUAGAUCACAGUCAACCCUUACGCAUUCGACUUCCUCGCCACUUUGCUGCAACAACACAA